GAACACAGGUGCUGCAUGGCCGUCGUCAGCUCGUGUCGUGAGAUGUUGGGUUAAGUCCCGCAACGAGCGCAACCCUUGUCAUUAGUUGCUACCGCAAGGAGCACUCUAAUGAGACUGCCGGUGACAAACCGGAGGAAGGUGGGGAUGACGUCAGGUCCUCAUGGCCCUUAUGGGUAGGGCUACACACGUCAUACAAUGGCCGGUACAGAGGGCUGCCAACCCGCGAGGGGGGAGCCAAUCCCAGAAACCGGUCGUAGUCCGGAUCGUAGUCUGCAACUCGACUGCGUGAAGUCGGAAUCGCUAGUAAUCGCGGAUCAGCUUGCCGCGGUGAAUACGUUCCCGGGUCUU
rnacentral:rRNA from 1 species